UACGUAGGUGGCAAGCGUUGUCCGGAAUUAUUGGGCGUAAAGCGUGCGCAGGCGGUUCGUUGUGUCGGUGGUGAAAGCCCCGGGCUUAACCUGGGAAUGGCCAUGGAAACUGGCGAACUGGAGUGUGGCAGAGGGGGGUGGAAUUCCGCGUGUAGCAGUGAAAUGCGUAGAGAUGCGGAGGAACACCGAUGGCGAAGGCAGCCCCCUGGGCUAGCACUGACGCUCAGGCACGAAAGCGUGGGGAGCAAACAGG
rnacentral:rRNA from 1 species